AGCAACCCGGAGGAAGCGAAAGAGAAUUGGACGACUUGAAGGGAGGCGGGGAAGGGGAGGCCGGGGUAGGAGUUGGUUUGCUCUUGUCGGGGCUGCCCCAGACCUCUGUGUUCCAGGAUUGCAGCAGAGUUAAGUACAUACUUCUUUAUCGGGUGCGCCCUCGCUUCUAGGGCAUUCCUUUCGCGCUCUAUUGGCUUUACAGGAAGUGGGAGCUGCGCCUCGGCUCAGUUCGCCGGGACACGCCUUCCCGUCCUCCCAGCCCCCAGCCGGCCCCAAACCAAACUCCAUUCCCUGGUUGGGGGGUUCCCGCUGUGUGAGGGCUGGGCCUCGGGGUUUGGACCGGCAGGGGUUUGUACCGGCAGGGGUGACGUGCGUUCGGGAGUCGCAGCGGAAAGCGAGAAAGGCAGUGGGUGGAAAAGGGAAAGGAUGCAUUUGACAAAUCUGAUUCAUCUCUUCAGACCAAGUCCCCGCAACAGGAAAACAUAGUUCAUCAAGAAUUGGGAGACUUCAUUCAUUCCUCUUUAUUGCCAAGACUUUUCUGACUUACAACUUAAGGAGCUUAGGAAAAAACAAGCAAAUAAGCAAAAAACUACCUCUUUACUUGGACUGAAGUUCCUGAAUGCAGCCUUAACUAUCAUGGCUGUAGGUCAUGCCUGUCCAACCACAAGCCACAUUGUGCAGCCUCCUUUGCUGCGGAGUGUUUCAUGUGACUGAGCUCUUGAUACUGGAAUGCAUCAGAAGCUAUUUGUGCCCUUCUGGACUAUGCUUUCAAGGGACUAGACAUUGUGCACCUUUCCUCCUUCUUAUGGGCCAGGAUGGUGACAAGCAGAGUGACCUUAGAAGCCAUAUGUUUAGGAUGGCAGAAACUCUGUUCUGCCAAGUCCCUGAAUGACCUGCAGUUCAUGGAGCUGAACCCUUCCAAGCUGAAACACCCCUCUGAACCAUUUCGUUAGAGAGAAAUAAAGCUUCUAUUAUGUUUGAAUGAUUAUAUUUUAAGAAAAAGAAAAUGAGAGGAAGAGUCAGCAUCUGAAGAGAGAUGACUGAAGUUCUUCUAAUGGCGAUUACUAUGUGAAGAUGUCACAGGGCAUCAUGACAUCCACAGGAAAAAGAAAUUUCUGUCUCUGCUGGAACUGAACUGGAUGUAAAUCUCGCUGAAGCCCUCAGUAGGGGCAGAGCAUGAAGAUGCUGGUCGGAGGUACCCACCAAGGUGUGAGUGUGGAAAAGCUGCCGCUCCCUGGAAGUAAGAAGCUGGUAGCAGGGUUGGAACUAGCCUUUUAUUUCCUUGCAUCACCUCACCUUCUCAUCCCUCCAAGCCUUUUCUUUCCUGCCUCAAAACAAUGAAGCAAUGAACAUUGACCUGUAUAGCUGCUUCUUUGGACACAUGUGCAAAUGUUUUUUUCUGAUAAAUUCUUAGAGGACGACUUGCUGAGUUAAAGAUACAUGCAGGUGCGAGGGACAUUCCUGGGGAAGAGCCUUUCUUGGCCAUUUACCACAGUGUUUCCUUACUUAAACACCAAAUGGACUUACUAAACUGUACUAGGGCAGAUGGCACAGCAAGACUUAGUCUGUUCCAGUCCAAAGAGAUAAUUUAUGUAAAUUACAUGACCAUAGACAUUAUAUGAUAUCCUCUAACAUCCCUUUGACAUACCAUGGCAAUCUUCCUCCACCGCAUAGCAGUAUGGGAAGUGCCCUUCUAAGUCCUUUCCCAUACAUUUACUUCCUGUCUUAAGGAUCUUUGCAUGCCUGCUACUUUGUAAUACCUCUGCUAAUGAGUAGAGGAAGCUGCCUUCAGUACUCCAAAUGAGGAAAGAAAUGCUGUUACUGGAUUCCAUUCCUGUCUAUCAUCUUGUUCAAAAGGAGGGGAGUGAGUCAGAUCAAGAGAAUGAGUCACCAAGUCAUAGCCAAGGUGAUAAACCUCAAGACUU